UACGAAGGGGGCUAGCGUUGCUCGGAUUUACUGGGCGGAAAGGGCGCGUAGGCGGACAGUUAAGUCGGGGGUGAAAGCCCGGGGCUCAACCUCGGAAUUGCCUUCGAUACUGGCUGUCUUGAGUACGGGAGAGGUGUGUGGAACUCCGAGUGUAGAGGUGAAAUUCGUAGAUAUUCGGAAGAACACCAGUGGCGAAGGCGACACACUGGCCCGUUACUGACGCUGAGGCGCGAAAGCGUGGGGAGCAAACAGG
rnacentral:rRNA from 1 species